rnacentral:rRNA from 1 species
GACGAACGCUGGCGGCGUGCUUAACACAUGCAAGUCGAACGGAAAGGCCCUGCUUUUGUGGGGUGCUCGAGUGGCGAACGGGUGAGUAACACGUGAGUAACCUGCCCUUGACUUUGGGAUAACUUCAGGAAACUGGGUCUAAUACCGGAUAGGAGCUCCUGCUGCAUGGUGGGGGUUGGAAAGUUUCGGCGGUUGGGGAUGGACUCGCGGCUUAUCAGCUUGUUGGUGGGGUAGUGGCUUACCAAGGCUUUGACGGGUAGCCGGCCUGAGAGGGUGACCGGCCACAUUGGGACUGAGAUACGGCCCAGACUCCUACGGGAGGCAGGAGUGGGGAAUAUUGCACAAUGGGCGGAAGCCUGAUGCAGCAACGCCGCGUGCGGGAUGACGGCCUGCGGGUUGUAAACCGCUUUCGCCUGUGACGAAGCGUGAGUGACGGUAAUGGGUAAAGAAGCACCGGCUAACUACGUG